rnacentral:rRNA from 1 species
GUGAACGCUGGCGGUAGGCCUAACACCUGCAGGUCGAACGGCAGCACAGUAAGAGCUUGCUCUUACGGGUGGCGAGUGGCGGACGGGUGAGGAAUACAUCGGAAUCUACUUUUUCGUGGGGGAUAACGUAGGGAAACUUACGCUAAUACCGCAUACGACCUACGGGUGAAAGCAGGGGAUCUUCGGACCUUGCGCGAUUGAAUGAGCCGAUGUCGGAUUAGCUAGUUGGCGGGGUAAAGGCCCACCAAGGCGACGAUCCGUAGCUGGUCUGAGAGGAUGAUCAGCCACACUGGAACUGAGGCACGGUCCAGACUCCUACGGGAGGCAGCAGUGGGGAAUAUUGGACAAUGGGCGCAAGCCUGAUCCAGCCAUACCGCGUGGGUGAAGAAGGCCUUCGGGUUGUAAAGCCCUUUUGUUGGGAAAGAAAAGCAGCAGGUUAAUACCCCGCUGUUCUGACGGUACCCAAAGAAUAAGCACCGGCUAACUUCGUG